UUUCUGAAGUCUCAAGAAAGAUUUGUAAUGUUUUGUUAUUUCAGAUACAACUUUUAGUUACCUUUUUGGGUACAGACUAGCGUAAUUACUGUGAGGAAAGAAAUGAAUGACCAAAGUGCUGAUAAACUAAGCCAAAUUCCUGCUAAUUAAACCUCAGAGAAGUGAGACGGUGAGGAAGGGCUAUAAUUAGGAGCCCAAGCCUGCCAUCUUUGCUGUCCUGCAUGGACCAAGUGGGGCAGAGAAUGUGAUAAAAUCUGCUUUGGUGAGGUGCCCUUUGGCAUUACAGAAUCAUGAAGGUUGAAAAAGACCUCUCAGAUCACCUAGUCCGACUGUCAACCCAAUCACCACCAUGCUCAACAACCACAUUGACAUGUAGACAUAAAGCAAAAUUGUUUAUGCAAACCACUGGUCUGACACCUGCAAGAUCAUAGCACUUAUGCAGAGACAAUGGGAACAUUGUAGUAAGAACCAGGAUGUGAACCAGUCUGCACCAGCACUGUGGUCUCAAAAACCACCGAGAGAGCCAAAGGUGAGAAGGACACCAGGAAACCUUCAUGAGGAAGACUUAGAGAAGACCUCUGCCCAGGACGACCAGAGAGCAGCACGCACGUGCACAGAGCCAUCUGCUUAAAAGAUAAAGAGAAGAGAAAACUCUCAGAGAAAUGAAUUGCCU
rnacentral:lncRNA from 1 species